UACGAAGGGGGCUAGCGUUGUUCGGAAUUACUGGGCGUAAAGCGCACGUAGGCGGAUAUUUAAGUCAGGGGUGAAAUCCCAGAGCUCAACUCUGGAACUGCCUUUGAUACUGGGUAUCUCGAGUAUGGAAGAGGUGAGUGGAAUUCCGAGUGUAGAGGUGAAAUUCGUAGAUAUUCGGAAGAACACCAGUGGCGAAGGCGACAUACUGGAUCAUUACUGACGCUGAGGCUCGAAAGCGUGGGGAGCAAACAGG
rnacentral:rRNA from 1 species